CAGCACCUACGGCACUCGUAGAUCAUACACUACACAUUGGGGUUUACCAUUCUACUGCAGCAGGGAGUGAAGAACAGCAUGGAGAUUGGAGGACACGUAUAGGAUAUGCAUAUAUAUGUCUGCACUUCUUUAAGAUAUGCAACUGAAUAUAUUGUAUUGGUGGAAACUUUGCCUUUGUUAAGUAUAAGUAAUAUUUAUAUAUUUUAUUAAUAAACAAAACAUACAUCUCCUUAUAUCAGGAUUAACAGCAGUUACAUAGUAUAAAUAAUACUAUAUAUUAUAUUUAAUAUAUUUCAGCACAUAGUAGCACACAUUAUUUAUAUCUCUAUUCUAGAUUACUCUACACCUUCCGGGAUCUCCCUAGGUGAAUAUUUUGUACAGUAUAAGUAAUAAAUAUGUAUUUAUAUGUAUUAUAUUUCAGCACAUACUAGCACACAGUAUUUAUAUCUCUAUUCUAGAUUGCUCCACACCUGCUGGGAUCACUCCAGGUGAACAUUUCGUGCAGUAUUAGUCAUCAAUAUGUAUUUAUAUGUAUAUAUUUCAGCACAUAGUACAUGUAGCACACAGUAUUUAUCAUGUUUAUAUCUCUAUUCUAGAUUGCUCCACACCUGCUGGCAUCUCCCCAGGUGGACAUUUCAUACAGUAAAGUAAUAAAUUGUAUUAUAUUUCAGGUCGUUCAUUCUCUUUAUAUAUAUUGCACUAAGUCAUUCAUUCUCUUUAUAUAUAUCGUUCUACACCUGCUGGAUCGCCACAGGUCAAUCAUUCAUUCUCUUUAUAUAUAUUGCACUACACCUGCUGGAUCGCCACAGGUCAUUCAUUUACUUUAUAUAUAUUGAACUACACCUGCUGGAUCGCCACAGGUCAUUCAUUCACUUUAUAUAUAUUGUACUACACCUGCUGGAUCGCCACAGGUUAUUCAUUCUCUUUAUAUAUAUUGCACACCUGCUGGAUCGCCACAGGUCAUUCAUUCUCUUUAUAUAUAUUGUACUACACCUGCUGGAUCGCCACAGGUCGUUCAGUCUCUUUAUAUAUAUUGCAUUACACCUGCUGGAUCGCCACAGGUCAUUCAUUCUCUUUAUAUAUAUUGCACUACACCUGCUGGAUCGCCACAGGUCAUUCAUUCUCUUUAUAUAUAUUGCACACCUGCUGGAUCGCCACAGGUCAUUCAUUCACUUUAUAUAUAUUGUACUACACCUGCUGGAUCGCCACAGGUUAUUCAUUCUCUUUAUAUAUAUUGCACACCUGCUGGAUCGCCACAGGUCAUUCAUUCUCUUUAUAUAUAUUGUACUACACCUGCUGGAUCGCCACAGGUCAUUCAUUCUCUUUAUAUAUAUUGUACUAUACCUGCUGGAUCGCCACAGGUCAUUCAUUCUCUUUAUAUAUAUUGCACACCUGCUGGAUCGCCACAGGUCAUUCAUUCACUUUAUAUAUAUUGUACUACACCUGCUGGAUCGCCACAGGUUAUUCAUUCUCUUUAUAUAUAUUGCACACCUGCUGGAUCGCCACAGGUCAUUCAUUCACUUUAUAUAUAUUAUAAUACACCUGAUGGAUCGCCCCAGGUCGUUCAUUCUCUUUGUAUAUAUGGCAAUACACCUGCUGGAUCGCCACAGGUUGUUUAUUAUCUUAAUAAUUACGUAUUAAUGUAUUAUAUUUAACUCCGCUGGGAUCUCCACUUAGAUCUCUCUGGAGUAUUUUAGGACUACUGGGACUUCCCAGGUCGUUUUUUCUUUUUCUUUAUUUACAGAAAAAUACAGAUACAGAUACAGAUAUUAAUAACCUAUCGUAUUCGGAUGCUGCCUUCAGAACAAUAGCACCGGAAUAUAAAGGAAAUCAAUACCUCGAUUCCUGCCAUCAUAGUAUAAUGUGUUAGAACGACAGUCACGCAACUUUCGUUAAGCAUUAAACGCAACAAGUUUAAUCAAAUGUACAAGUUUAUAUCAUUUCGAAUUAGGGGCAUACAGAGUUCCAUGAACUGUCUUUCUACUAUCACCGAGAACCAUUUGAUAUACUCUAUAACACACUGAAAGAAUCGGAAAGAAUUGCAAUUAUUAUAUAGCUAGGUUUUGAUAUCAUUAUUUGCUUGUCAUAACUACACCACAACAGGGAUCGAGCGAUUACCUUCUAUUUGCAUGGAGCAAGAUAAACAACUUACAUGUAGGCUUCUAUGAACAGGCCAACAUUUACAUCAUCCUUAUUACAGUGUUUGUACAACAUGUUAUCAACAGGAGUUUUCCUCACGUUUCAUAGAUACUGUAACACUGUGCAUUUUAACAGCGUUCUUUGGUUCUCUUCGAUGAACUGGAAACAUUCACUUGUUGAAUUAGGGAUGUAAUCUAAAGUGCCUAGUAAUCAGUGAUGUUGAUAUCAGGGUAGUACUUUGCUUUUGGUGUGAAACUUAGAACACCAAGACUGAUUACAAUUAAAGAACAGUUUGAACCAGUGGUGCCUUAGUAUAAGUAACAAUUAACUUGAGAAUGGGGGCCGUAUACUUUCUCCUCCUUUCUUUAAAGUGACUCUGAUGCAAUGCGUUUAUUCCUUAUUUGGACAACUCAGUUAUGCCUUGGUUAUAACUAAAGUUUCGUAGUCAUUCUUAAGACAAUACAUCAGGACUUAUAAGAAGUUUAUUUGCAAAGAUCAUGAUAAAUGUAUCAUUGAGUCUUUGUCAUAGUUUUCUUAUAACUAAUUUAUAUUUUUAUAUGGUAUUAUUUCUUGGGGGCUUUCACUCAUUCAUCAUUCAUUAUGAAUUCACUCAAUUUGGCCUUUAUAAUUCAAGGGGAAUUAUACUCCCCCAAUUCAAUAAUACAUCAGAUGGGUUAAUUCCUGCCAGGUCGGUAAUUUCUCUAGUCAAGUAGCUUACACCUGCCGGGAUCGCCCCAGGUGACAUUUCAUACAGUUAAGUUUAAUUUCUCUAGUCAAGUAGCUCACACCUGCCGGGAUCGCCCCAGGUGACAUUUCAUACAGUUAAGUUUGCUGCAGGGAUCUCCCCAUCAUUGUUAUGUAUUUAAAAAAUUUAAAGGUUAAAUUUUCCAAUGAAUGAGUAGCCCCAAGAAAGCCAAUAAUGUAACAUUUUAAGUUAAAGAAAUGUUUAUUGUUACAUGUAUGUUAUGGUGUUUAAUUUAGAUAAUGAUGUUUAGAGUUAUUAUGUUAUAUAAUAAAAGUCUUUCUUUAAAAUGUGUUGUGUAUAAAAGGAAAUUUGAUUUAUUAAAUUAUAGUUUAUACACAACACAAUUUAUCUUCUAUCUAGAGUUUAGAAGCCUCUGUCAAUCUAUUUUUAGAUUCUAUUAUUGUUUACUACUAGAGGGGGUAUGUGUUUUGAUGACCUCAUUAUCAGAUUGACAAACUUACCUACACGUGUAUCAUAUGUAUGUUAAUCAGCUAUCCCACCCACCGUCCCCAGCUACUCCAAUCUGGGUUUCGAAUAAUAUACUUGUAUCUUACCAGUAUGUAACUGUUAGUGUAUAGAUAGAUAGUGAAGCUUCAUAUUGUAUGUGUUGAACCUAAGGGAUUUUCAUUCUAGCCUUUUUAAUAAUUAACAAUGAUUUAUAACACAUUAUUGUACAUAUGAUAUUGAUGUUAUGAUAUUAGUUCUUUAAUAAUCGUUUUAAUCAUUAAUAACUAACUUAGUCAUUAAGUUUAGUUUUAUGUAUGUACAUUGUAUAUUUAGACUUGUUUUCUCACCAAUUUAGAGGCUACUCAUAUUAUGGAUAAUUGCAUCAGGCCUUUAUAAUUCAAGGGGAAUUAUACUCCCCCAAUUCAAUAAUACAUCAGAUGGGUUAAUUCCUGCCAGGUCGGUAAUUUCUCUAGUCAAGUAGCUUACACCUGCCGGGAUCGCCCCAGGUGACAUUUCAUACAGUUAAGUUUAAUUUCUCUAGUCAAGUAGCUCACACCUGCCGGGAUCGCCCCAGGUGACAUUUCAUACAGUUAAGUUUGCUGCAGGGAUCUCCCCAUCAUUGUUAUGUAUUUAAAAAAUUUAAAGGUUAAAUUUUCCAAUGAAUGAGUAGCCCCAAGAAAGCCAAUAAUGUAACAUUUUAAGUUAAAGAAAUGUUUAUUGUUACAUGUAUGUUAUGGUGUUUAAUUUAGAUAAUGAUGUUUAGAGUUAUUAUGUUAUAUAAUAAAAGUCUUUCUUUAAAA